rnacentral:lncRNA from 1 species
AUGUUGACAUUCAACGAAAUGGGGCUAGCUAAAGCCCAAAGCCAGAGAAAAAUCGAGGCAGAGAACCUUCCAUCCCACACUAUAAAACAGCACCUUCACUCUCCAAUUUUCUCAUCACACUUAGCAAACUCAUUCAUAUCAAAUCUUCAUUUCUCUUCCAUUUCUCCAAAUUCCAAGAGGUAAUCAUGGGUGUGAUCACUUACGAUGUAGAGACCCCUUCCUCCAUCCCGGCCGGGAAGCUCUUCAAGGCCCUGGUGAUCGACUCCGACACCCUCAUCCCCAAGAUCCUGCCUCAGGCCAUCAAGAACGUCGAGAUCUUGGAAGGAGACGGCGGCGCCGGCACCGUCAAGAUCAUUCAUUUUGGCGAAGGGAGUCAGUAUAAGAGCGUCAAGCACCGUGUGGAGGCCAUCGACAAGGAGAACUUCACCUACACCUACACCAUCAAUGAAGGUGAUGUUCUCGCAGAUGUCAUUGAAUCCAUCACUUACCAUAUCAAGGUCGUCCCAACCGAAGAUGGAGGAAGCAUCUGCAAGAACAGGAGCAUUUACAACACCAAGGGUGAUGCUGUGAUUGAUGAGGAGAAGAUCAAGGAGGGGAAAGACAAGGCCCAACAUAUGUUCAAGGCCAAUGAGGCUUACAUCACCGCCAACCCCGACUACUGAAAGAGACGAGGCUUCAUAUAUCAAUGAUGUCAUUUUAUAUAUAUACGUGGUUUCUGAUAUGAGAUAAUUGGUGUGCGAGAGACUAUGUAUAGGCUUAAUUGCCUAGAGUGAUAUCGAUUUACUUUGUGUGAUUUUUGAAUUUGUGUUGAGUGAAUAUUAUUGUAUUGAAUUUGUGUUGCACUAAAUAAAGAAGCAUAGUUUUUUUUUUUUUUUUUUGAAUUAAUAAAGAAGCAUAGUUAAUUGCAAGUUUGGUGGUCGUGGGAUUAAUAUUUUUAUUGUUCUCUUGUGGUUGUUUUGUUUCUUUAUUUAGGGGUAACUAAUAUAUCCAUAUAUUUCAGAUUAGCAUAUGAACAUAAAUUUCACCUCAAAAUACAAGAACUUUCAUUUUUUAUUUUUUAUUUUUUUCUUUCUAACUUUGCACCUGAUAAAUAAUUUAACGUUGAAAACUGAGGAAGAUGUUGGAAUUAAUCUAUGUAUGCAUAGAGUUUUGAUAUAUAUUUUUAAUGAAUGAAUACUGAGGUAGAAGUCAGAAUUAUCUUUACAUGCAACGAAUUUUUUUUAUAAACAACAUAGUUAGACUAGUAAUGAAAUAUUGUCGUUUCAUCAUAAAAUAAGUCCUAUAUUUUUAGAUGAUCAUUUAAAGCAUUUUUUUUUUUGCAAUUUAAGACUAAGAGCAGUGGCGGAUCCAGGGGGGGCUAGGGGGGGCUUCAGCCCCCUCCCAAUUUUUGAGUUUUUUUUUUUAAAUUAUAGAUAUAUAUUUAUUAUUUUGUUUUAUAUCUAUAUAUAUGUGUAUAUAAAUAAAAAAAUACAAGAAAAAAUAUAGUAAUACAUUAUUUAUAGUAUCCAACUAUCCAUAUUAAUUGCUCAACACAUUGAGUUGUUACAUUUAUAGUAUUAUUUUUAUCAUUUUUUCUUUCUUAGUUAAUUUUUAAUGUUAAAUUUGAGUCAAUUCUAAAGGUAAAAGUAAAAUUACUAAUUACUAACAAUGAAAAUUAGUUUAUUUGUUUAGAAGAUGAAACAAUUUUUUUUUAAGAAAAAUGAAUAAAAGUACGUUUUUAUAUGCUUUCAAUCUACUUGAUGUUGAAUUAAUUGAAUUGCGAACAAUUAUCUUAUUAUAUUAAGUGAUUGUUGAAAAAAUGUAUGAAAUGAAGUGUACGGAAUGCUCAAAAAAAUUUGCUUCGGGGGCUCCCGCCCCCGAACCCCCGUGUAAAUAUUUUCAAGCACCGUAGUCCAAUAGAUUCAGCCCCCCCUAACAUUGAAUCCUGGAUCCGCCCCUGACUAAGAGGGUUGUGAGUUCACGAUCAAGGCCGUACUUCAUUAUUCGUGAUUCAUGAUUUUGAAUUCGUUGUUCGGGUCCAAUAUUUAGGUUCACAUAAUUAGGUCUUCGAGUUGUGUGUUUGUAAUUGAAUCCGUUGAAAAUAUUUUUAAUUUGUGUGCAAGAUUAGGGGGAAAAAAAUGAAAUUUUAUAUAUUUGGAAAUAUGAUUUAUAGCUCAUGUGCAAAAUAAAAAAAUAUAUAAAUUUUUUUAAGAUGCUAUUACCACUUUUAUUUAUUUUCGAGUUGAGUUCAAAAUCAUAAUUAAGGAAGACUGAUAAAAUCUAGAGGUCAAUCGUUUAGGUUGCUCACUGACAAUGAAAUGUGCAAAAUUAAUAUAAAAAUAGGCCAGUGAACCAUGUGGAUUGAAUCGGAGUCUUUUUUAGGUUCAUUUAUAUAGUUGGACAUAAAAGGGGAUAGAGGUUUAAUUCACUCAGUAUAAAAGUUGACGGUGAAUUUUAGACCAAUUAAUGAGAAACAAAUUUUUUAGAAAAUCAAGAAUUUAUGAAUAACUUUUAAUAAAAUAUCAUAUAUAUUUAUUUUCUUUAUCCAGUACUUGAUUUUUAUCCUGUGAUUAUUUAUUAGAUUGCUGAUCCAGUGACUUGAUUUUUAUUGUAUUGGAAAUUGAAUUAUAUAUUCUAGGGUAAAUUUAAUCUAAAACUAUAAUAAAUUUUUGUAAUAUUUUAUUUUUUUUCCAUAAUCUUUUAUUCUUGUUUCAUAAUCUAUUUGAAAUCUCUUGAUUUGAGUUUAGUCUGUAUCUCUGGGCCAAAACGUCAAAUUUGUAUAUGGCCCAAAGGCUUUUAAUGGGCUACAUAGUCAAAUGGGCCGAAUUUUUAGGUCGAGAGUCCAUUGGGUCAAAAUUGCAACUACAGAACGGAAUAUUCUAUUUAAGGAGAUUGGAGUACUUGGACGACGCUGGGGUCAAAAAUUAUUAAUGCGAAUUUUUUUCUAAAUAUUAGACUUUUAAUAAUACAGAGACGACUCUUUACAGAAAUGAAUAUUUUUUAAACAAAAUACUACUUAUAAUAUAUAGUUUAUCCUCGUAUCUUAAGUGACUUUAUUUGUAGGUAUUAUUGUUCGUUUUUUAGUUAAAUGCUUAUUAUGAUGUUUGUAAUUGCAAAAAAUUAAAAGGCAUUCGUAUGAAAAUUGUAUAUUCAGAAAAGAUGGGUUAUUAUUGUGUGAUCACAAUUCACAAGCUUGAGCAGACUUAUUCAAGGAGAUUUGCUGCUCAAAUUUGUGUUCACAUUUAUUGCCAAAUACAAUCAAGAGAAAGUGUAGACUAGUCUACCAUGGAGUGCUACGUACAACCAAUUUUGGUCUUAAAAUAAAUGCAAGUGUGAAUUUUUCUUCUUAUUCUGUUUCUAUAUAUAUAAUUGAAAUAGCUCUCAAUUGACCCUACAAGAAUGCUUCAACUUGUGAUGUCAAAGCAAUUAUAGUAAAGACUGUGAAGUAAUAUAAAAAUACGAUUAACUUACAUCAUUCGGGAAAUUUUCUAUGCAUUUUCUUGACAUGUUUCACAUGCAUGCCACAAGGUGAAGCAAAAAACAUAUGACUUCUUAUUCAUUUUAAUUUAAUACUAAGUUAAAGUUAACUUAAAUCAAUAUCAUGAUUUGGCAUUGACGAACUCAUGCAGCUUAUAAAAUAUCAAGCAUAAUGAUUAGAUAAAAAUCGUCAUACUCGAGUGGUAAAAAAGAAAGAUACAGAUCCUUUUGGGACGGCUAAUGGUAAAGUGAAUAUAAACGUGGUUUAAGUCUGUUAUAUAGACCUAUUUUUUUAAAAUGAGAUUUGCAGAUUUCACAGAAACAUAGAUUUAUCAAAUAAUACGACUUGUCACACAUAGUUUUUGAUGUAUGAUUUGUCUGUAUCGAAUCUUAAUAUCAUAAUGAAUAGUUUUUUUUUUCACAUUUUUUCACUAUUUUCAAUACUAAUUACAAUACAUUUUCACCACUUUCAAUACUAAUUACUCCCUCCGUCCCGGUCAAAGUGGUGCACUUCUUUUGGGCACGGGAUUUAAAGAGAAUAAGAUUGUAGUGUAAAAGUGUGUAAAUGUGUGUGGGGCCAUAUUUUUUGUAGUGUAAAAUUAUUACCAAAAAAGGAAAUGCACCACUUUCGGUGGGACAGCCCAAAAAAGAAUACGCACUACUUUCGGUGGGAUGGAGGAAGUAUAAUAUUUUUCACUAUUUACAAUAUACUCAACAAUUUUGUAUUAAAAUUCGUACCCCUUAGGAAGUUAUUUGGGGGUCGGUAGAGGAUAAUGCCAUGUUCUAUGACACCCCAAAAUAUCAUCGAUUAUUAAAUCAAUCCAUAAAUGCACCAUGAAUAAUUAUGUCUACAUUCAACGAGAUGGGGCUAGCUAAAGCCCAAAGCCAGAGAAAAAUCGAGGCAGAGAACCUUCCAUCCCACACUAUAAAAUAGCACCUUCACACUCUCCAAUUUUCCCAUCACACUUAGCUAAUCUCAUUCAUAUCAAAUCUUCACUUCUCUUCCAUUUCUUCAAAUUAAAAAAAAAAGGGAAUCAUGGGUGCGAUCACUUAUGAUGUAGAGACCCCUUCCUCCAUCCCGGCCGGGAAGCUCUUCAAGGCCCUGGUGAUCGACUCCGACACCCUCCUCCCCAAGAUCCUGCCUCAGGCCAUCAAGAACGUCGAGAUCUUGGAAGGAGACGGCGGCGCCGGCACCGUCAAGAUCAUUCAUUUUGGCGAAGGGAGUCAGUAUAAGAGCGUCAAGCAUCGUGUCGAGGCCAUCGACAAGGACAACUUCACCUACACGUACAGCAUCCUUGAAGGUGAUGUUCUCUCAGAUGCCAUUGAAUCCAUCACUUACCAUAUCAAGGUCGUCCCAACCGAAGAUGGAGGAAGCAUCUGCAAGAACAGGAGCAUUUACAACACCAAGGGUGAUGCUGUGAUUGAUGAGGAGAAGAUCAAGGAGGGGAAAGACAAGGCCCAACAUAUGUUCAAGGCCAUUGAAGCUUACAUCACCGCCAACCCCGACUACUGAACGAGACGAGGCUUCGUAUAUCAAUGAUGUCAUUCUAUAUACGUGGUAUCUCUGAUGCGAGAGGAUCGGUGUGCGAGAGACUAUCUAUAGGCUUAAUUGCCUAGAGUGAUAUUGAUUUACUUUGUGUGGUUUUUGUAUUUGUGUUGAGUGAAUAUUACUGUAUUGAAUUUGUGUUGCACUAAAUAAAGAAGCAUAAUUAAUGUUGCAAGUUUGGUGGUAGUGGGAACAUUUUUAUUUUUCUCGUGGUUGUCUUGUUAUUUUAUUUAAGUGUAAUUAAUAACCGUAUAUUUCGGAUUACGCAUAUGAGUAUAAAUUAAAUUUCGUCUCAAAAUACAAUAACUUUUUUUUUUCUCUAGCUUUGCACCUGAUCAUAAAUAUUUUUGACGAAUAAAUAUUGAUAUAGAAGCCAAAGUUAUCUUUAUGUGCAACGAAAAUCUUCAUAAGCAAUAUAAUUUGAUUAGUAAUAAAAUAUUGUCGUUUCAUCAUAAAAUAAGUCUCAUAUUUUUAGAUGAUCAUUUAAGGCAUUAUUUUUCACAAUUUAAAAUUAAAGGGCUGCGAGUUCACGAUUGAUUCAUGAUUUUGGUUCAUAUAUUUAGGGCUUCGAGUCGUGGAUUCGUGAUUGAGUUGUGAAUGUUUGAAAAUAUCUUUAAUAUGCUUUGGAAAAAAAAAUUAUAUAUUUGGAGACAUGACUUAUGGCUCAUGUGCGAAAUAGAUAAAUGUUAUAAAAUUUUGUAUUUUAGAUACUAUAACCACUUUUAUUUAUUUUCGAGUUUGAGUUCAAAAUAUUACUCCCUCCGUCCCAAUAAAAGUGGCCACAUUUCCUUUUUGGGUGUCCCAUUAAAAGUGGCUACUUUCUAAAAAUGGCAAAAGUUUACUUUAAUUAAGUCAACAAUUACUCACUAAUUUGGUCAACAAUUGUAGGCCAUUUUCUAAAAAUGUCAAAAUUACUUACUAAUUUGGUCAACAAUUGUAGGCCACUUUCUAAAAAUUACUCACUAAUUUUGGUGGGUCACACUCAAUUAAAACAUAACAAUUCCCUUCUUAAUCUCCGUACCUAAAAAAAAGUGGUCAUUUUUAUUGGGACGGAGGGAGUAAUAAUUAAGGAAGACUAAUGAAUCUAGAGGUCAAUAUAUCGUUUAGGUUGCUCACUGACAAUGAAAUGAGUAAAAUUAAUAUAAAAAUAGGCACCAUGUGGAUUAAAUCGGAGUCUUUUUCAGGUUUAUUUAUUUNUUAGGUUAUUUAGUUUAGUUGGACAUAAAAGGGGUUGGGAGGUUUAAUUCACUCAUUAUAAAAAUUGACGGUGAAUUUUGGACCAAUUAAAGAGAAACAAUCUUUAGUUAUAUCAACUCUUAUUAUAUUUACGGAGACUAUUUAUAGAAAAUUCAAGAAUUUAUGAAUAACUUUUAAUAAAUUAAAUAUCCUUUAUACAUUUAUUUUCUUUAUCCAGUGACUAUUUAUUGGAUUGCUUAUCCAGUGACUUGAUUUUUAUUGUAUUGGAUAUUGAAUUAUUAUAGGGGUAAUUUUGACAUCUCGCCGGGGAUUUUUUAGACAAAACUUUAAAAUAAAAAAGUGCAAAUAAAAGUUACUAAUGCGAAAAAUAUUCUAAAUAUUAGACUUUUAAUAAUAUAGAGACUCUUUAACUCUUUACAGAAAUUAAUAUUUUUUAAACAAAAGAUACUAAUAAUAGAUUGUUUAUCCCCGUAUCUUAUAAAGUGACUAGAUUUGUACGUAGGUAUUAUUGUUCGUUUUUGAGUCAAAUGCUUAUUAUGCUGGUUUUAAAAGGCAGUACUGUAAUUACCAUGCAUAUUUUAAUAUUCGUAAGAAAAUUGUUAAGAAAGAUGGGUUAUUGUGUGAUCACAAGCUUGAGCAGACUUAUUCAAGGAUAUUUGCUGCUCAAAAUUUGUGUUCGCAUUGUCUUGCCAAAUACAUACAAGAGAAAGUGUAGACUAGUCUACCAUGGAGUGCUACAACCAAUAUUUGGUCUCAAAAUAAAUGCAAGUGUGAAUUUUUCUUCUUAUUCAGUUUCGAUAAUUGAAAUACCUCUCAAUUGACCCUACAAGAAUGCUUCAACUUGUGAUGUCAAAUCAAUUAUAGGUAAUAAAGACCGUGAAGUAAUAUCAAUAUAUGAUUAACUUACAUAGUUACAUAAAUCUAACAGAAAAAAAAACAAGAAGAAAAGUCCACAACGAGGCACUAACUAAUUUUGUAAAUGAUACUCUCUUCGUCCUCUAAAUAACUUCAUAUCUGUCCCCAAGGGGACACCAAGCGGUGCGAAUAGUGAAUAAAAAAUAAAAUAAAAAAUAAUUAUGUGAAUAGUGAGGUCUCGGGUUCAAACUCCACUGCCCCCCUCCCCAACACCCCCAUGUAAAAAAAUAAAAAAUAAUAAUAACUUCAUAUCUUUUUUUUAGGUUGUCUCCCAAAUAAUUUACUAGUACUUUAUUUUAGGACACUAUCCCAACUUUUCAUAAUACUUCAUUUAUUCUUUUUUUUUUCACCACUCUCAAUACUAAUUACAACACCUUUUCAUCUUUUAUUAUUAUUAUUAUUAUUAUUAUUAUUAUUAUUAUUAUUAUUAUUAUUAUUAUUAUUAUUAUUAUUAUUAUUAUGCACUCAAUAAUUUUAUCUUAAAAUCAAUGGGCCCCCUCAAAAGAUUAUUUGGAGGAUGGAGGGAGCAUAAUGCCAUGUUAUAUGACACCACAAAUAUCAUCAAUUAUUAAAUUCAAACCAUAAUUAAUGCAUCACGAAUAAUUGAGUUGCCAUUCAACGAAAUGGGGCUAAAGCCCAAAGCCAAAGAAAAGUCGAGGUAGAGAACCUUCCAUCCCACACUAUAAAAUAGCACCUCACACUCUCCAAUUUUCCCAUCACACUUAGCUAAUCUCAUUCAUAUAUAUCAAUCACUAAUCAAUCUUCACUUCUCCUCCAUUACUCCAAUUUUUUAAAAAAGAGAAUCAUGGGUGCGAUCACUUAUGAUGUAGAGACCCCUUCCUCCAUCCCGGCCGGGAAGCUCUUCAAGGCCAUCGUGCUCGAGCCGACACCCUCAUCCCCAAGAUCUUGCCUCAGGCCAUCAAGAACGUCGAGAUCUUGGAAGGAGACGGCGGCGCGGCACCGUAAGAUCGUUCAUUUUGGCGAAGGGAGUCAGUAUAAGAGCGUCAAGCACCGUGUCGAGGCCAUCGACAAGGAAACUUGACAUACACGUACACCAUCAUUGAAGGUGAUGCUCUCUCAGAUUUAUUGAAUCCGUCACUUAUCAUAUCAAGAUCGUCCCAACAGAAGAUGGAGGAAGCAUCUGCAAGAACAGGAGCAUUUACAACACCAAGGGCGAUGCUGUGAUUGAUGAGGAGAAGAUCAAGGAGGGGAAAGACAAGGCCCAACAUAUGUUCAAGGCUAUCGAGGCUUACCUCAUCGCCAACCCCGACUGCUGAAAGAGACGAGGCUUCUAUAUCGAUGAUGUCAUUUUUAUAUACGUGGUAUAUAUAUACCUGUGAUGCUAGAGAAUUGGUGUGCGAGAUAUUAUAAAUAGGCUGAAUUGCCUAGCUAGAGCGAUAUCAAUAUUGAUUUACUUUGUGUGGUUUUUGAAUUUGUGUUGAGUGAAUAUUAUUGUGAUGAUUUGUGUUGCACUAAAUAAAGAAGCAUAAUUAAUAUUGCAUGUUUGGUGG